rnacentral:ncRNA from 1 species
CAGCCACCCUUUAAAGAGUGCGUAAUAGCUCACUGGUCAAGUGGUCCUGCGCCGACAAUGUAGCGGGGCUCAAGCACACCGCCGAAGCCGUGUCAUUUCAGUGUCAUGCUGGGAUGGGUAGGGGAGCGUCGUUCAGCCAUUGAAGCGCCGGAGUGAUCCAGGUGUGGAGGCUGGACGAGUGAGAAUGCAGGCAUGAGUAGCGAAAGACG